rnacentral:rRNA from 1 species
GGAUUAGAUACCCUGGUAGUCCACGCCGUAAACGUUGAGUGCUCGUCGUAGUGGGUAUUGACCCCUGCUGUGACUAAGUUAACGCGAGAAGCACUCCGCCUGGGAAGUACGGCCGCAAGGCUAAAACUCAAAGAAAUUGACGGGGGCCCGCACAAGCGGUGGAGCAUGUGGUUUAAUUCGAAGCUACGCGCAGAACCUUACCUGGGUUUGACAUCCUCGGAAUCUCUUCGAAAGUUGAGAGUGCCUUCGGGAACCGAGUGACAGGUGCUGCAUGGCUGUCGUCAGCUCGUGUCG